rnacentral:lncRNA from 1 species
CUGUGGAAUGUGUUAUUACCGUCUCUCACCCAGACCAUUGUAAUAACCUCCUAAAUAAUCUCCGCUCCUUUCUCUCCCUUUGGAGAGGAAACAAUAUUAUUAUUUUGUAUUAUUAUUCAAAAUCUUUGUAUGUCUUUGUUAGGGUUUCCCUCCUCCCUGUGGGAGAAUUGUGCUCUUGUCUUUUGAUGUCGGACUUGACCCCAUGAUUUCCUCUGGUCAAUGAAAUGUAAUUAGAAGUAACUCAGGGCACUUGUGAGCAGAAGGUUUAAGAGGCAGCACCUGGUUCACUCUGUCUUUUUCCCUUCGCUAUGAGACUGGCAAGGUUCCAGAUAGCAACUGUUCUAGCAGCCAGGGUCCUGGAGAGAAGUCAACAUGAAGCAGAGCCACAGAUACGCCACAGAUAAGCUUAUGUAAUGAAGAGCUUCUCGCUUGUUGCCCAGGCUGGAGUGCAAUGGUGCGAUCUCAGCUUACUAAAUCUUCCGCCUGACAUGUUCAAGCAAUUCUCCUGCCUCAGCCUCCCAAGUAGCUGGAAUUACAGGUGCCCACCACCAUGUCCAGCUAAUUUUUUUUUUUUUUUUUUUUUUGUAUUUUUAGUAGAGACGGGUUUUCACCAUGUUGGCCAGCCCGGUCUUGAACUCCGUCAGCCUCCCAAAGUGCUAGGAUUAACAGGCGUGAGCCGGCACGCCCGGCCUCCCCGCUGAAUCCUUUCUUCAUUUUAUCAUAAUCCUUCUAAAUACACUUUCGGGAACUUUAAAAGAUGCCUACCACCAUUUGUCUCUCAUGAAGAUGUGAACUGCGACUGGAAACAGCUCAGUCUCUCACAGAUAGGAUCUCGCUGAUGCCCUGGAUACUGCCACAAGGGAUUCGCGUGGGCUGGAGUGCAGUAGCACCAUCACAGCUCACUGCAGCUGCAGGAUCACAGUUCAUUGCCCCUUCAACUUCCUGGCCUCAAGCCAUCCUUCUGCCUUGGCCUCCUGAGUAGCUUGGACUACUGGUGCUAGCCACCAUGCCCAGGAGGAUGAAAUUUAACCACAUCAAAGAAACCUACAGCUCUGAUACUCUCAGAAAAAAUAAGACUCAACACAAAGAGAGUAAAAAGAGUUAUUCUGUCAACGAAGGGUCUUGACCGAAUAAUGUAUACAUCAGAUCUUUUCAUCUUGCACUUCUUGGACACUGUGAUUCAAAAGGGAGAUUAUUUGUGUCAGUAAAGAAGUAUCCAUAAUGAUAAAACACAAGUACUUCAAAGAACAACCUGUGCUUCUCAAAAGGAAAAUAGUUUGGAUCCAUUUACUUUUCUCCUCUACUUCACAUUCUAAAUGACUGAGAAAAUGUCUUCUCGUUUUCAAUACAACCCAUGGGAAAUCAUACUCAAAUAAGUAGUAACUGAAUGAACUAAUCUGGAAAAGUGGUCCUCAAUUUGUUUCUGUAAUAUCAGCUAUCACAAUACUGCCUUGAUAUUUCAUACAAUUCUGCAGAGUAUAAAAAAGCAAAAGCCUCUAAAAGUUGGUACUAGAAUGUACUACACGCUCAAUAUAGACCACAAAAUGGAUCAGACAUGAAGCUUAGUAUUGUCUGUGUGCACAGUGUUUAAAUAUUCCCUUGUUUUAAAAGUGCCAGUGUUUGUUAAGUAACUUAAAAUAUUUGCCACAUGUAGCUUAUUUUUUUUACUUUUUAUUAUAUUUUUGUCAUAGGUAAAAAAGUGAAAAGAUUUAUGACAGUCAUUUUUUUAAAACUAAGUUAAGCUAUAUAAAUUGUUGUGAAAUAAAAUACAUUUUAAUUAUAUACAAUAAAGAUCCUAAUUUUAAUUUGCAAGUAUUUUCAAGAUUACAAGUAACGUUAUCAAUUGUUUUACUUAUAACAAUAUUCCUAGGGUGUCUACAUUUAAUAAUUCUAAGUUUUUAAAACAAUUUUAAACUAUUUCAUUUAACAGACAAUACAAACUAACUAAGAUAAAUUGAGAAAUAUAAAUAUCCCUCACCUGUGUUUUUAAAAUUAGAGACAACUUUUGUAUCAUUCCAGAUAUAAUUUAUACCUAUAUAAAUGUGUUUAUUUUAAAUGUGCCAUUUAAAAGAACUGGUUUAUGCUUUGAAAUGGCUGCAUAAUAUUCUACUCUACCUAGAUACCAUUAAAUAUUGAAUCAGCUCUCUAUUGUGUGUUUUUUGCUGUUGUUACUGACAGAUUUUGUAAUUACAAUGCAGAUUAAAAACUUGUUUUAAAAAAUGUGAUUUUGCUCAUAGACAUAUGUCUUUAGAAUACAUUCGUCAUAGUACAAUUGCUGAGACAAAGAGUUUACGCAUUUGGAAAUUUUAUAAAUAUUAUCACAUUGCUUUCUAUCAAUAUCAUCUCACAAGUAUAAUGACAAGUGAAAGAUACUAGGUAUGAACAUUUAUGUAGUAUUCAAAAGCAGAUAAGUUUAUUACCCUGUCAGAAGAUAGCAAAAUGAUUAACUUUAUGAAGGUUUCAAGCACUUAGUUUGAGGGAAGGCAGGAUAGGCAGUUUCAUGAGAAAGGUAUGUCCCAUCUCUUGAUCAGGGUGAAGUUUAAAUGGAGUUGUUUCCUUGAUGAUGCAUCAAAGUCACCACUUGAAAUUUGAUUACUUUUUAAUAUAUGCUAUACUUCAAAAUGUUUAUUAACAUGCAAAUCAUAUAAUGAAUUCCAUUAAUUUAGUGAGAGAAAUUUUUUUUAUAUGCUUCGAAGUCAUUUGUUUUGUUGUUUGCGUUUACUCAGAACAGUGUGUCAAUCUCCUUGACUGAUAUUUCUAUUGUUUCUAGCAGGUCAUUUAAUAGUUUAUAAUGUUUAUAUUUUCAAAGUUUAUUGGGGUGUAAUUUAUUUAUAAUACUGUACAUAUUUAAAGUUCAAAAUAAGUUAAGCCUUAACAUGUAUAUACAGCCAUGAACACAUAACCAUAAAGUAGGUCCUAAAUAUAUUCACCACUCACAAAUGUUUCCUUGUGAACCUUUGUCAUUCCACCCGCCCUUACUUCUUCCGCAUAAUCUCCAUCUAUAGCAACUACCAAUCUAUUUUCUGUUAUUAUAAAUUAAUGUGCAUUUUCUGGAAUUUUAUAUAAAUGGAAUCAUAUCAUAUGUACUUUGUUUUGUCUUGUUUUUUCAGUAAAAUUAUUUUGAGAUUCAUACAUGUUGUUACAUGUAUCAAUAGUUCAUUACUUUUUAUUGUUGAGUAGUAUUUCAUCAUAUGGAUAUGCCACAAUGUGUUCACACCUUAACAUAAAUUUGUCAAUGUAGUUUCCAGUCAUUGGUUAUUAAAUAUAAAGUUUCUUGAAAACUGAUCUAUAAGUAUUGAUAUGGAAUGUGAUUUCUUUUCUCUUGGGUAAAUUCCUGGAAGAAAAUUGGUUCUAUCAAAUGGUGUUUGCAUGUUUAACAGUUAUAGCCAAACCAUUUUCCAAAGUGGUUGUAAUAUUUUACAUUCCUCACAGCAGUGUAUGAGAAAUCAAAUUGUUCCAAAAGUUUGCUAAGACUUGUACAUUUAGAUGUAUCACCAAUUUUGGGUAAAUUUUUGUACUAAUUGUGAGUUGCAAUUGAGGUUCACUUUUUUAUAUGGAUACUCCUUUUUUUACACAAUACAUGUUGAAAGCAUCACCUUGUAUUAAUUGAACUGCCUUUGCAUCUUAUUAAAAUCAGUUUCAAUAUAUGUGAGGUUCUAUUUCUGAACUCUAUUCUCUGUUACAUUGAUUUAUGUGAACACUUUUUCACUGAAGCCACACUAUUUUGAGAACUGUAGUCUUGAAAUUGAGUAUUGGUAAUCCUCUAAAUGUGUUUGUUUUUAUAAAAAUUGUUUUGGCUAUUUAGAUCACUUUGCCAUUCAAAUAAAAUUUAAAAUCUGCUUGUUGAUAGCUACAGAAAAGUUACUGGCAUUUUAACUAGGAAUACAUUAAACUUAUAGAUAAGAUUGAGGAGAAUUGCCAUUUUAUUCUUCCAAUUAAUGGCUAUAUUACAUG